rnacentral:misc_RNA from 1 species
AACCUAGCACACCUGCGGUGUGUACCUGCGGAAGGAUCAUUACCGAGUUUACAAACUCCCAACCCUUUGUGGACCUUACCAUAUUGUUGCUUCGGCGGGACCGCCCCGGCGCCUUCGGGCCCGGAACCAGGCGCCCGCCGGAGGCCCCAAACUCUUAUGUCUUUAGUGGUUUUCUCCUCUGAGUGACACAUAAACAAAUAAAUAAAAACUUUUAACAACGGAUCUCAGAUCGGAAGAGCA